AACAGCUACUAGAGGGGCAGGGCCGGGGCGCGCCAGCCGCGGGCCUCUGUGCCCCUGGGACCGCCGCGGGCCCGCGGGGGGAGGCGCGCUGCCCGGGGAUGGCGUCAGACUGCACGGCUUCCUCAAUAAUUCACCAGCCUCAGGGCGGGUCAGGGCGCGGCCGGACGACAACACGGAGUAGGAGGAGCUGGAGACGGGGGUUCCCAGCGGGGCAGUUUCUGGGUACUGAACGUUCCCUGUCCCGAGGCCCCCAGAGGAGCACGCUAAAGAACGCAGCGCGGCCUCGGUGGGCCGGACUCGUUGAAGGAAACCACCUGCCCCACCCGUUUCGGCCAGCUGGCCGUCCAAGCGCAUGCGCGCUUCUCGCCUUCCGCGCCCUCUUCCGCUCAGACUCCCGAAUACGCUUGCGCUCCAUCUGGACUACGGCUGGUCAGCGAGAGCAGUCCGUCCCCAAGAUGGCCAAUAGGCGUGCGGAAGGGUCCGCGUCCCGCCUCCCAGCGAUUCGAAGCCCCGCCCGCGCCCCGCCCCGCCGACCCGCGCGUCCUGCGGCUGAGCGUCGAGGCUACGCUUCCCGGGUGGGCGCUGGCUCCGCGGACCUGCAUCCCCGCUGGGCCGUGUCCCCGCCCGGCCUCUCCGCAGGGCGGGCGGCGCAGGGGUUUCCCUUCGCCUCUGGCUGAGGCUGCUGUUUCGCCUCGGCGGUAGGCGUGUUGGAUGUUGCGCUGUUGGACUCUCACUCUCCCCUCUCUGCCUUUGCAGUUCACCUUUAAAGAUUUUAUUUAUUUAUUCGACAGAGAUAGAGACAGCCAGCGAGAGAGGGAACACAGCAGGGGGAGUGGGAGAGGAAGAAGCAGGCUCAUAGCGGAGGAGCCUGAUGUGGGGCUCGAUCCCAUAACGCCGGGAUCACGCCCUGAGUCGAAGGCAGACGCUUAACCGCUGUGCCACCCAAGCGCCCCUGCAGUUCACCUUUUCAUCAUCGUUGUUAUUAUUAAUUGUAGGAAUGGCCCUCUAAUGCUAAUGAAGAGGAGAGAAUAAGCGGGGUGGGGGCAGAGGGAGAAGGAGGGGGAGAAGCAGACUCCCCGCCGAGCAGGGAGCCCAACGCGGGACUCGAUCUCAGGACUCUGGGAUCAUGUCCUGAGCCGAAGGCCGACGCUCAACCGACUGAGCCCCCCAGGCGCUGGGGGAUGAAAUCUUUAUAUGCACUCCACCCACUUGUUUGUUUGAGAGGUGGAGUGGGAAGAAAGUCUGUAUAAUUUAUCCAUUCGUUAGUCGUUCGACAAACACACUGAGCGCGGAACCCGCGCCAGCCACUGCGCUGCCGCCAGGGAUGGGGCGGGGCUCCAGGGCACGCUGGUCCCUACCCUGGUGGGCUUACCCACGGACAAAGCAACCACUGAGAGGAGAAGAAGAAAGUACUCGCACGGCCAAAGGGAGAGCAGAGGUGAGAUGAAAUAUGGCCUAUUGGAGGAAUGCGGUUGGAGCAUAAGGUGCAAAGGGACAGCUGCCCUCUCUGGAGUUCAGCUGUCUUUUAGAAGUGCUGUGCAAAGAGGACUGAAGAGUGCAUCUGUGGCCACCUCAGGCGCCCCUCGUGGCCCCCCAGCAGGCCUAGGUGUUGGAGGGGACGCCCCUAGGGCAGUGGUCUUCAGUCGCCCCCUAGGGGGCAUUCUGAAAACUGGUGUCUUUUGUGGGGACCACCAUCAGGAGGCAGUCUGAGGACUUGGAGGCGCCAGGACUGGAAAGGCAGACAUUCCAGAAUGCGCGUUAUGUCCCACACAAGGAAAAACCAUCUCUCAUUCUAUUCGACUUUGGAAUGUUUUGCUCAAGAACAUAUUCAAAGUAAAAAUCAAACUUAAGCCUUUAAAUUUAAGCAGGACUUUAUUAUGUAAUAAUAAAGGAAAUUUUUACCUGAAGUUUUUUGGGGAAAAGCCCAAUAAUUUAGGUCAUCGUGGAGAAGGACGCGUAAAGACAGUCCGUCGUCCUGGAAUUGUUGUAUGCGUGCUCUUGGUGAUGCUGGGCGCCUCCAGCUGCGUGAUAUGUGGUGGAAAGAGCUUCGGGCCACCAGUGCGGUUCCUUGCAAAAGGAACCACCAGCUACAAAUCCACCCACGUGCGCUUCUCACCAGCUUAAAUGAGCUGUAAUUUGCACACUACCGCAGUCCCUCCUUUUCUUUUUUUAAAGAUUUUAUUUAUUUGUCAGAGAGAGAGAGAACAGGCAGGAGGAGCAGCAGGCAGAGAGAGAAUCAGGCUCCCCACUAAGAAGCCCAAUGCAGGACUUGAUCCCAGGACCCUGGGAUCAUGACCUGAGCUGAAGGCAGACGCUUAACCAACUGAGCCACCCAGGGGCCCUAUAAGUAAGUCCUCAUCUUCACAUUCGUUUCAGGACAGGAAAGAGUGUGUUAGGAAAUACUUGCUAUGGAGAGGGGUGCUCAGGAUCUGGGGCUGAGACCUCCCAGGAUGGAGAGCAGAGCUGAGCAGCGCCUCCCGACUGAGUCAGUCAUUCUUGCCCCAGUGGGAAUGCACUGUUGAAGCUGCGCCUUGACUGAUGCCUUCGGAGAAAAGCACCAGAGACGCUACCACGGAGCCCGCACAUCACAAGCCAGCGCGGGCUUCAACCUGUGCGAGAAGAGCUCUCCAUGAGCACAAGCGACGGGUGAAAACAGUGCCAUCGCUGCAGCUCUUGAAAAUACCCAGCACCUACCAUAGCGUCUGGCACACCAGAGCCUCCCAUAACUACGUGGGUGCGCGUGGGAUUCUGGACACGAAUGCAGUUUCUGCCACCGAGUGGCCACCGGACUUUGGGCGAUUUCAUGACCUUUCAGAGUCUUAGGUUCCUCACCUUUAAAAUGGGAAAAACAGCGGCCCAUUCCGUAAGUGUCCGACUUGUGAUUUUGGCUCAGGUAGUGAUCUUGGGGUUGUGAUCUCGGGGCCAUGGGAUCGAGCCCCGCAUCGGGCUCCAGGCUCAGCG